GUCUACCGCCAUGCCACCCUGAACAAGCAGGUCCCGUCUGAUCUCGCAGGCUAAGCAGGGUUUGGCCCGCUCAGUCCUUGCAUGGGAGACCACCUAGGAAGACCAGGUGCUGUAGGCG
ensembl:rRNA 5S_rRNA 5S ribosomal RNA